UACGUAGGGUGCGAGCGUUAAUCGGAAUUACUGGGCGUAAAGGGUGCGCAGGCGGUUAUAUAAGACAGAUGUGAAAUCCCCGGGCUCAACCUGGGAACUGCGUUUGUGACUGUAUGACUAGAGUACGGUAGAGAGGGGUGGAAUUCCUGGUGUAGCAGUGAAAUGCGUAGAUAUCAGGAGGAACAUCGAUGGCGAAGGCAGCCCCUUGGACCUGUACUGACGCUCAUGCAC
rnacentral:rRNA from 1 species